ACAUAUAUAUAUAUAUACGCCGGCGUACAGGCCCUUCAGUUAUAUAAAGGGUGCCGGCACGUACACGUACACCAUCUUUCAUCUCGUGAAACCAUCUCCUCCUUUGUUUGCUGUCUGUCUAUCUCCGCAUGUGUGAGUGCGUUGCCUCCACUCUAUCUUCGUCCGCCCUGCUCCUCCUGCCUUGUGCUCUUCUUGGAUCUCCUUUGGUACAUUCUUAGGUGCGUAGAGCAUCUCUUUCUCUGAGCGGUGUACCCGAGACUAUCCACCGCCUCGUUUUGCCGCCAUAAUCUGCCCCGCCGCGCACCAUCGCUCGACCACCCGCCCGCGUCUUUUUCGCUUGUUGCUCUCCGUUGCGUGCUCCUGUGUGCUUGUGGAAUGGGGGAAGGGGUCUGCUGCGCUCUCUCGCUCCCUCAAGCCUCCUUUUCUUUGUUGCCACCCGGUGCGACUUGCCGCUGCGCCGUGUGUCGGCAGACACCGCCAUUCAGCAUAAGAGGUGAAAAAGACACGCGCGGUCUAUCUAUAUUCAAGCGUAGCAUUCCUCAUUUUUAAUGGGAGGCGUGGAUGUCGCCGCCGCCGCCGGAAGCGUUGUCGACGGCAAUGGUCAGGCGCAGCAAGCGGCGAGUCUGUUUUUACGCGAUGUGAAGCAUGUUCUUCGCUGGCACGCGGUGGCGGCGGGUGUGGCACUGGCAGCCACCCCGGUUGUGUACCAGGUGGCCCGGGUGGUGGCGCACCGGUACCGAGCGGAGCUGGUAAAUCUAGCGAAGGACGCGGUGCAGCGGGAUGAGAUCUUUAACGGUGCGGAGGCGGACGGCGUGCUGAUCGAUCCGGCGGAGGAAGGUGAUAUAUCCAUCUCUUACAAGGGUAAUGCGAAGGGCGCAAGGGAGGCAGAAAGCGACGCCGACGAUGAUGCGUCGGCAUUGUGGGCAAGGCCGUCGCGACGCUCAUCGCAACAGCCGGCCUCGAUCUUUGCGCUCCGUGUUGGUCGUCGCCACUCGUGGGUGGUGUCGUCGUUUGCGUACCAGGUUCUGGCAGCGCAGCGCGCGCCUAAUGUACAGUUUGUACGGACCUGCAGCCGGGCCGCUGUGUGUCAGUACGGCGUGGUCGUGCUGCGAGCCGCGACCACGAGCUGCCUCGCCUCUGUCGCGUCCUUUAUUGUCUUGUACGCCGGCUGCCGGGCAGUCGACUAUGUCGCUCCCUUCGGGGCGCCGCCCGCGGUGGAUGGCGCGAAGGAUUUGUCGCCGAGGUCGCUCCUCAGUGCGUUUGCGACGGACUCGCUUUUCACGACCGCGGCGCCCCCAUCGCCAGCCGUGAACUCCACCUACGGCCUUUACAGCUUCGGUGUCUCUGCGGCGGGUGUGUGGUCGCGGCUGUUUCCUCGCUUCGGGGCCGCGCAGACGCUCUGGCAGCGCCUCGCAGGGUUUACACAGCCGCUGCAUGCGGAGUGGCGCGACGGAUCGGCGACGCUGCCCUCAUCGUCGCCGUUAUCGUCGCAGCACGCGCUGGCGGACAGCGUCUGGGCUUCGCUCUCGCCUCGUGGCUACUUCAUUGUGUCGCUUCUCCCGCGCUUGCCGCCGCGCAUUGCCGCGGGGCUGUCGUGGCUGGCGAGGCACACUUCUACUGCAGUGAUGCGUUGGUUUUACGCCGCGCCAUCGCCUGUGAGCCCAAAGGCAAAGGCCACAGCACCCACGGCAGCUGCUGCUGCUCCUCCACCACCUUCCGCAAGUGCCGGCACAGGUGCCGCGGCUGCUGUCGAUCCCAGCACUCCGGCGCUGUCGAAGCGGCGUCGACGCCGUCAGCCGACACGGCUCAUCGACUCGCCCGUUGCGAAAAUGGCGGCAAUGCUGAUGGGUGACAUAACGUUCGCCGGCAUCGUGUUCUUGGCCACCUCGUGCGCAAACAGCAGCAGCCCCAGCGCUGGCAGUCCCCGCUGGCCGCUCGUGCUAAACGACGCCAACACGCGGUACGACAUCUACUGUUGGGCACAGGCCGUCUGCAGCACGUUGAGCGUGUUGAGCAUCUAACGAAGGCAUGCGAAAUACUUGAGACAGGAUGCACAGAUGACGGGAGAGAAGCGAAAGAAGGGAAGCGGCGCCUCUCCUUGGCGGGCACGGCUGGCGGUGAGUAAGCGUGCCCUCUUUUUCUCUCUGCUGGCGCUGCUUUGCACAUGGGAGAGGGCGGGAGGUAGGGCGGUAGUGGCACGCCACGGCAGCAGUGCUUCCCUAUGCAAUCGCCUCCCUUUCCCCCUGCCCCUCCCUCGCAUCUCCGACACUCGUCCGCCCCUCCGUCGUCUCGUUCAUUUCGUUGUACGUCCGCCAGGUGCGCAACUACAGCCGCGAAAGUGAAUGAGAGCGCACUAAGGGAAGUGAGGGUGGAGAGGUACCAAGUUGAGGGGGACGCAACAGAGAGAGAGCGCUCUGGCAGAGAGAGCGCGAGGCGCGCUGGGCCUUACAGUCCUUCUCCCUACUCCCCGCUCCCCCCUCCUCCUCUCCUUCCCUCCCCCACUCCAUGCUGUGGCGCAGGCAUGCUUUGACCCCAUCCCUUCCUUCAAACUGGGGCGCACUCUGACACGUUCCCUAGCUGAGAAAGAAAGAGACAGGGUGUACUGGAGCAAGCCCGUGAAAGGCGGAAGGGAUCGAUCUCUCCCUCUCCCUCCUUCUCUGCGUCCGUGCAUCGGUGAUGAUGAGACACCGUUCGCUUCGCUCUGUUCUCAUCAUCUCCGGAGAGAGGGACGAGAUGGAAAAGAGAGAGAACAGAGCACAGCGAAUCCGGCAACGACGCACAGCUUGCAGGGUCGUUGAGGGGUGACGAAGAAAACAUUGGAAAGGCAAGGAAAAGAAAACGUCCACGCAUUCACCCACACCAACGUAAGCACGCACACGCACACUCUCUGUCUCUGUGUGGCGGCAGGAAACACCUUUGCUGUAAUGAACCAGCAUGCAUAUAUAUAUAUAUAUAUAUAUAUAUGUGCCAGGAAACGUGAAUAUUUUUGUGGUGAGAACGAGUGCAAGAGAAGCAUAUAUGGUGGUGCCAGUGGCGGACGGUGUAGCAGCCACAAUGCGUACGGCUGUGCCGUGGUGGUGCAACCUGCGCGCGCAGGGGAAGGGUUGGAGGGCUCGGUGCCCCCCUCCCCGGCACCUUUUCCCCACCUCCACCCAGAUUUACUUUCAUCAGCCCAUAUGUGUGUGUAUCUGUUGUUGAUGAGAGUAUGUG
rnacentral:misc_RNA from 1 species